UGGCCAUACCAUGCUGAAUAUACCGGUUCUCGUUAGAUCACCGAAGUCAAGCAUGAUUGGGCGCGGUCAGUACUUUGGGUGGGUGACCACCUGGGAACACCGCGUGCCGUUA
rnacentral:rRNA from 1 species